AUGGUGCCGGAGGACGAGGACGGCGAGGCCGGGUGCCGCGACAACGCAUUGGCCGCGACCGGUGAAGGGGGUGAAGAAGGGCGGCUUCCCUGGCCGUGGCCCUGGGAGUUGGUGCCGUGGAAGCGGCACUUGAAGGACCCGGCAUGGGUGGCCGGCGCGCAGACGCACUUGGAAGCGGGCUUGUGGCCCGCGCCGGAUGGCGCCGACGCCGACCGGUUCUUUUUCGUCCCACCUUUUAUGGUUUUUUUGGUACCUCCUCCCACCUUCGCUGGUUUUUUUACAGAUUUUUUUCGUCCCCUCCCCUCACUUCAUCGGUUUAUUUUCGCGUCAUCCUCUCACACAACGAAAGAAAUCUGA
rnacentral:rRNA from 1 species